ACCUUCUUUUAUGAGCCAACUAGUGGCUGAGUGGCUGUUCAGACUGGGGUGAUGGUGCCAGUAGAGUCUCCACUUAGAAUGAGGCUCCUAACUGGUCCCAGGCUCUGACAGCAUCACACAGAGUUGUUGCCAUGGUUUUGAGUAAUACGGUAAUGUGGACAUUUUAGAACGACUAAUCUGAUGCUAACAUGAUGGGGAGAGACAGUGAUGGUUUGGAAAUUGUCAUCACAAUCCAUGGAUAAACCAGUGUGGAUGGCUGCUGUGUGAGAAGAUGGCUUGAGGAAACAGGACCACUUUGUUGAGAGAGAAACUGGGUGAGAUGCGAGUGAUCUAAGGUGGCUGCAUACUGAAAACAUCAGUCAGAGUGAAUGUACUGAUCAGGGAAGCACUCCAACAAGGGAACAAGAAUUUAUCUUCGCUCACUAGUGGGAGAAAAGAAAGAUAUUAUUCUCCCUUCGAAGUUUAAGAAGGCAUUUUUG